rnacentral:lncRNA from 1 species
GGGCCUGGGUGACUGAUCGCGGAAAGGCUCCGAUGGCGCCGGCGGAUGACACAAGGUCGGCGGACCGCAUGGCGUCGUCUGACGUUCGGGUUCUCGAAGGAGCGUCGGCCCUGGCCAACCAUAAUUUGGCUAGGAGGUUGUGCCAGGCGACCAUCCUACCGGCCGACCAAGAGCUCUUGAAGAGUCGAUCGGUGACCGACA